rnacentral:rRNA from 1 species
UACGUAGGGUCCGAGCGUUGUCCGGAAUUAUUGGGCGUAAAGGGCUCGUAGGCGGUUUGUCGCGUCGGGAGUGAAAACUCAGGGCUCAACCCUGAGCGUGCUUCCGAUACGGGCAGACUAGAGGUAUGCAGGGGAGAACGGAAUUCCUGGUGUAGCGGUGAAAUGCGCAGAUAUCAGGAGGAACACCGGUGGCGAAGGCGGGUCUCUGGGCAACAACUGACGCUGAGGAGCGAAAGCGUGGGGAGCGAACAGG